rnacentral:rRNA from 1 species
GUGAGGAAUAUUGCGCAAUGGAGGCAACUCUGACGCAGCCAUGCCGCGUGCAGGAAGAAGGCGCUACGCGUUGUAAAUUGCUUUUAACCGGGAAGAAACCCCAGGACGUGUCCUGGGUUGACGGUACCGGAGGAAUAAGCACCGGCUAACUUCGUGCCAGCAGCCGCGGUAAUACGAAGGGUGCAAGCGUUAUCCGGAUUCAUUGGGUUUAAAGGGUGCGUAGGCGGAGCGUUAAGUCAGUGGUGAAAUCCUGCAGCUUAACUGUAGACUUGCCAUUGAUACUGGCGCUCUUGAGUGCGCUUGAAGUGGGCGGAAUGUGCCGUGUAGCGGUGAAAUGCUUAGAUAUGGCACAGAACACCAAUUGCGAAGGCAGCUCACUAAGGCGAUACUGACGCUGAGGCACGAAAGCGUGGGGAUCGAACAGGAUUAGAAACCCCGGUAGUCC